rfam:Ornithorhynchus anatinus Cont42585.1, whole genome shotgun sequence.
UGGGAGACUGAUACACAGAUAGGGCUGAAGUACUGCUCUAAAUGUCACAAUGCCUCCCUAGAAUAAAACUGCCUUUUGAUGACCGGAACGAAUUGAGUGAAAUCGUAACGGACAGAUACGGGGCAGAUAACU